ACGUAGGGAGCAAGCGUUAUCCGGAUUUAUUGGGCGUAAAGGGUGCGUAGGCGGUUUGUUAAGUAUGAGAUUAAAGCCCGAGGCUUAACCUCGGUUCGUUUCAUAAACUGGCAGGCUUGAGUGUGGCAGAGGUAAACGGAAUUUCUAGUGUAGCGGUUAAAUGCGUAGAUAUUAGAAGGAACACCAGUGGCGAAGGCGGUUUACUGGGCCAUAACUGACGCUGAGGCACGAAAGCGUGGGGAGCAAAUAG
rnacentral:rRNA from 1 species